GCUAUUUUCUUCAGAAGCGGUUUUACCCAAUUUCAUUUUGUUUUAAGUUACAUUAUCUUCACAUUAUAUUUAUGUUCAUACAGUGAAGAGAAUAACUGUAUCAAUAAUCAGAGAUUUCGUAUAAUUCAUUUUAUAUUGCCAUUAACAAAUAAUAAAUAUACAAAAAAUAAAUAUAACAGAAACAUUUUGCACUAUUUAAUGUAAUAUAAACAAUUUUUUAAAGUUGUCGAUGUGUUGUUGUUCAUCUAUAACGUAGAAUAUUCAUUGGUACAGUUUUUCAGGAUAUUUUUAUCAAUAUGAUUUUCUAGUUUUAAUAAUAUACGGGUGAAUAACAACACAUGGAAAUUUAAAAAAAUGGAAUAUGUUACAUUAAAUAGUGUAAAAUGUUCCUGUUAUAUGUAUUUUUUGUAUCCCUUAAUGUUAAUGACAAUAUAAAAUGAAUUAUAUGAAACCUGUGGUUAUUAGUACAGUUAUGCUCUUCACUAUAUGUAUAUUAUUUCAUAUAAAACAGGUGAUUGAAUCAAACGUUAUAAUACUUUAUGUAUCUUAUUAACUGCGCAACCAUGCCAGUGUCCCUUCCAAGUGGCGCAUGCGCCUCGUUAAAAGGACUUUAUUUUGAUAUGACUUGCACAAAGAUCGCUGCAAUACUGUCGUUUCGGGCUGCACCGGAGUGCAGUGUUAAACAAAAUACAAUCUGCACCUCAGUGCAGUAUCAUGCAACGGAUAUAUCGGUAUGUAGUCGACCAUUAUAAAUUACGCUAUUAAACAUACCAUGAGCGGCAAGGAUAGUGGCCAAACAACGCGCCACAGCACGAUUCGGAGCACACGCCAGUGCAGGAGUUAAACCUUCCCCAUCGACAGCCACAACGCU